rnacentral:tRNA from 1 species
UCCCUGGUGGCUCAGACGGUAAAGAAUCUGUCUGAAAUGCAGGAGACCUAGGUUCGAUUCCUGCUCGGGAA